AGACAAUUAAGAUGACUUUACUUACGGUUCUGGAAAACAGUCUGGGCAGCGUUCAGCUGAGCGUAUAGCCGUUCUCUGUCAAAAACCAAACUGGAAUGACAUUUUUUGGAAUCAGCUCGCUCUGUUAAAAGCUACCAACCAUCUGAAAACACUCCAUGAAUUGGGAUGAAGUCGUGUAAAGUUUUGUGAUCCUCAGGAGAGGAACAAAAAUCUGGAGGAAAGUUCAGCUGCCAAAGUGCAGGAGCAGACACCUCACAAAGGAGGGUGUGAAAUGGCCUGUGAUGCGUGAAAGCGCUUGCCCUCACCGAACAAAGAGAUGUCCGUUGAGACAACAGCAGAAUGCCUUUACCGGAGAUGGACACGAGUCAUCUUAAUGGUCCCGUGUCCUAUCCUGUGCGUGGGAGCGUCACGGCGCAAGACCUCUUUGGAUGGCAAUCCGGCAAGAGCUGAAAUGUAUAGAUUGGGAAACACCAUGAAUGAAGGCGUUCACCGCAGUCUUGGUAGUGCAGGGGGAAGGCCUUUCCCACAUCUCAGCCGUUGGUACCCCGAUCUUGGAAUCCCAGCCUCCAGAGCCGUGCGAAACACACGAUUGUGGUUUGAGCCCGUCCGUGAUGCUGUGCACGGCAGCCCAGGCCCGGCGCAGACCCCAACCCGACGUGAAAUGUCAUGCCAUCCAUAAAUUUCAUUAUUUUGAAACGUACUUGAUAAUAUGAGGACUAUUGUUCUAGAACAUUCACUAUAAUAAAGACAGAUUGACAACCUC